rnacentral:lncRNA from 1 species
AAAAUGACUAUGAGCAGAGAGUAGCAGGAACCGAAGACAAGUACGAUUAGCUGCCAGAAGUUUAACAUUUCCCUCUUCAAAAGAAAGAUUACGUAAAAUCACUGCAAUCUGCAGUACCCGCUGCCCUUCAAUAUCAUUAAUGCCCAGUUUGCGAGGUGGAUGAAAUAAGGAUUCCCAAAUCCAAUCUUCUGAUGGAAUAUCUUGAGAUUUGCUUCUGUCAGAAAUUAGGUCACGUACUUCAAUAUCCUCAACAAUAUCCCUCCAAAACUUAACAAAAUCUCUAUCAGUUUUCUCCUUCCAUUCUUCUCCAAAUACAGCAGAAAAUGAUCCUAAAGUGUCAUCAAAUACCCCAGCAUUAGCAAGCAGUAACGUGAUGAUUUUAGGGUCCUUUUCAAGCUGCAUGACAUGCUUGCUUUCAUUUGAAAGAAGAGUACAUACAUUAAUUGCAAAAUCCACUUCAUUUGGGAGUCCAGAUAACAGUGAAAGCACCAAUUUAUUAUAAUCGUUUGGUGAGUUAAAGUCCAUAGAUAGCCCAUAGCUUUGACGAAGGUAAUCUGACACACUGUGUUGCUGGUAGUUAUAGGAAGUUGGGAUUGCACCAAUGGGAAGUUGUGGCUUUGGAUUGCCUGGUUGUACCUCCUCGUCCUCCUCCCCAAAAUGAUGGACUUUUUCAUACUUUUCUAGAUAACGCAAGUAAUACUGUUUUAAAGCGAAGGCAGCGUUAGAACAACUUCUGGGAAAGUUGAACUCCUCCACGAUCUCUCCCCACUGGUUCUUCUCGGAGACCUG